rnacentral:rRNA from 1 species
UACGUAGGGUGCAAGCGUUGUCCGGAAUUAUUGGGCGUAAAGAGCUCGUAGGCGGUCUGUUGCGUCGGCUGUGAAAACCCGAGGCUCAACCUCGGGCCUGCAGCCGAUACGGGCAGACUAGAGUUCGGCAGGGGAGACUGGAAUUCCUGGUGUAGCGGUGAAAUGCGCAGAUAUCAGGAGGAACACCGGUGGCGAAGGCGGGUCUCUGGGCCGAUACUGACGCUGGAGGAGCGAAAGCGU